rnacentral:lncRNA from 1 species
GCAGCCUUCUUCCACAGGAUAAUACAUCAAGCAAGAGGAGCGGAUUGAGUGGAAGGAUUUCCCUCUGGCCUACAACAUCAUCUUUUCUGUCCAAAGAGUAACUGCAGGAGUUGGUGCCGUGUUUCAGACCCCUGCCCACAUGUUCUUCUGAUGGUCGUUACAAAGCCCAGCUAUGUGGAGGACAGGAGUUACACUUUAUUUGCUUUACGGACAGUUUCAUGUGAAAAACUUCACAGUGGUGACAAGGAGUCGUAAGUAUUGUCUUGUCACCAAAGCUCCAUCCCAGAGCAUUGUGCUGUGCUCUGCUUUGAUGUGACACUGUAAUGACAAGAGUGAUGGCUGUGGAGCUGCUCCAUGGGGAAGACUUCCCGACCUGGAAGGAGGAGAGGAAUGCUGGGCUUGUGUGUC